rnacentral:rRNA from 1 species
UGGAAAUUUGAGAGGAUCUGCUCCUAGUACGAGAGGACCAGAGUGGACGAACCUCUGGUGUACCGGUUGUGACGCCAGUCGCAUCGCCGGGUAGCUAUGUUCGGAAGGGAUAACCGCUGAAAGCAUCUAAGCGGGAAGCCUACCUCAAGAUAAGAUUUCCCUAGGACUUUAUGUCCUCUAAAGAGCCGUUCGAGACUAGGACGUUGAUAGGUUGGAUGUGGAAGCAUAGUGAUAUGUGAAGCUGACCAAUACUAAUUGCUCGUGAGGCUUGACUAU